rnacentral:rRNA from 1 species
UGACGCUGAAGGCGAAAGCUAGGGGAGCAAACGGGAUUAGAAACCCCGGUAGUCCUAGCCGUAAACGAUGGAUGCUAGGUGUGGGGGGUGUAGAUUCCCUCCGUGCCGCAGUUAACGCGUUAAGCAUCCCGCCUGGGGAGUACGGCCGCAAGGCUAAAACUCAAACGAAUUGACGGGGGCCCGCACAAGCAGCGGAGCGUGUGGUUUAAUUCGAUGCUACACGAAGAACCUUACCUGGGCUUGACAUACAGGUAGUAGUGAAGUGAAAGCGGAUCGACCCUUCGGGGAGCCUGUACAGGUGCUGCAUGGCUGUCGUCAGCUCGUGCCGUGAGGUGUCGGGUUAAGUCCCGUAACGAGCGCAACCCUUGCUCUUAGUUAUACGUGUCUAAGAGGACUGCCGGCGGUAAGCCGGAGGAAGGUGGGGAUGACGUCAAGUCAGCAUGGCCUUUAUGUCCAGGGCUACACACACGCUACAAUGGCCGGUACAAUGGGUAGCUAAACCGCGAGGUGGAGCCAAUCCUGUAAAGCCGGUCUCAGUUCGAAUUGCAGGCUGCAACUCGCCUGCAUGAAGUCGGAGUUGCUAGUAAUCGCAGGUCAGCAAUACUGCGGUGAAUACGUUCCCGGGCCUUGUACACACCGCCCGUCACGUCAUGGAAGCUGGCAACACCUGAAGCCGGUGAGCUAACCCGAAAGGGGGGCAACUGUCGAAGGUGAGGCUGGUGACUGGGACGAAGUCGUAACAAGGUAACC